ensembl:lncRNA
GAAUAAACAGUGGCUAUAAAGUAGACCACUACAUAGGUGUAAUAAAUCAUGAGGGUAGUAAAAUACUGCAGAGGACUUUGUUCGUUCAUUCAGUUAUGCAGUUGUGUCCGACUCUGCAACUCCAUGGACUGUAGCUCACCAGACUCCUCUGUCCAUCUGAUUUCCCAGACAAGAAUAGUGGAGUGGGUUGCUAUUUCCUCCUCCAGGGGAUCUUCCCAACCAAGGGAUUGAACCCACGUCUCCUGCUUUGGCAGGUGGGUUCUAUAUCUCUGAGUCAUCAGGGAAGCCUGAAGGGGACUUACUUAUGGUGGAAUAAGAGGCGAGCAGGAAGAGGUUGGCCCUGGAAGGGAGAACACGGGCUCAAGGGCACAUGGGCUCAGCAGUUGUGUCCCAUGGGCUCAGUUGCUCCAUGGCAUGUGUGCUCUUCUUGGACCGGGAAUUGAACCUGUGUCUCCUGCAUUGGCAGGUGGACUCCUAACCACUAGACCAACAGGGAAGUCCCAGUUGCCCACUUUCUUCAGUCUCUGCUCAACAGAGAAACCUUCCCUGCUCACCCUUUAUGAAAACAGCAGCCCUUCACCCCACGCAACAGUUUUCUCUGGCUCCUUACCCUGUUUCUUCAUAGGACUGACUGCAAUCUGAAAUGUUCAAGAGCUAUUGCCUAUUUGUUUCUUGUCCUCCCUUGUGUAGAUUGUAACAUGAGCACAGGCACUCUGUUUCAUUCAUUAUUAUAUCCACAGCUUCUACUACAUAGUUAACAUUCAAUAAACAUUGGUUGAACAAAUGAAUGAACAUCCACAUUUAUAAGCAUAGUAACAUUCAUUAAAGCUAUAUUUUAAGAAAACCUCCUUAGUUCCUAUACAUCAUUCAAACCAUGCAUUUUCCCCUAUUUACAGAAGCAUUAUUGCUAAGUAGACUGAUAUACGAGAAGGGCAUGGCAACCCACUCCAGUAUUCUUGCUCAGAGAAUCCCCAUGGACAGAGGAGCCUGGCAGGCCACAGUCCAUGUGGUGGCAGAGAGCUGGACAUGAUUGAUCAACUAAGCACAACACAGCACAGACUGAUAUACAAUCCUAGUUGGGACAAAGAUCAGAGAGUAGAUUCAAAAUACCACCAUGCCCAAGAAGGUUCUCUCAAUAUAAGACUCUCCAAGGAGAACUUGCCAACUUCUCAGUUCAUAUAACAUUUUGCACCACUUGUAAUAAGUUACCUCAUAUUAUUCAUGGUUACACAAGCACAUGAUUGAUCCUUUGGUUAGAUCAUAAGCCUUUCUUAUAAGGGCAGAGAGUACAUCUUACACAAUUCCCUAUCCUUUAUCCUAUGGCACAGUGCCUUGAAUGUAUAAGACAGUCUAUAAAUAUGGGAUCAGUUCAUGGAUUGCUGUUUACCACCGUAGUGUGAAUAUCAGGAAAUGAUUCUUUUACCUUGUCUGUGCAAUGAGAGGUUGAACUACAUCAUUUCUAGGAUCUUUUUGGUUCUAAUUCUCUAUGGUUCUAUACCCAAUAUACCUCCAAAACAUAUACC